ACCCAGCCUGCGGAAAGGGAUAAUCACCGUCAGCAGACCAAACAAAUUCAGAGGAAUCUUUAGUACUGGGAAGUGACACUAACAAUCUAUGCCAUUAGCUGAGGAUGACUCCUCCAGGAAGACCGGCGGCAGAUGCAGUGCUGACAGACUGUCGUUAUAUCUGUGGUGAGGAGAGAGAGAGCUUUAAAAAUACAGAUUGCCCUGGGAAGAAAUAUUUGCAUAAAUAUUUUACUUCUAGCUGAUAUCACAUCUCCCCAAAUCCAGGCCUGUCUGGGAAGUGAAACGAGCUUUUUUGCAUGCUAUCCACAGCCAAGGUAAUGGGAGAUUUUCUGCUCUAAACUGAGAUAGUGGAACCAUAUUCGGCAGCUAAAAAAUUGCCUCUUGCUUCUUUGCAGCCAGUUUCGCUCUCACAGUUCUCAUGCAGGGAUUGUGUGUUUGUACAGGGAAAUAAUGUCAGAAAGUGUGAUGGCACUUCAAGUAUCAGCUCUAGGAAGAUAGGAACCUCGUAGGUAAGGAGAGUGCAAUGCAAUUUAAUAAAUGCAGAUUAAUAUUAAGAAGAAGCAAUGAAUCUAACCAACUCUAAUGCUGCAUUUUUCUUCAGAACACAUGUUUUUUUCUGCUUUCUUUUCCUUCAGCUCAGUGUGAACCCCUCGAAAACAGCUCAGAUGAUUGCGGGCGAUUCUCUGCAGACAAAAGAAAUGAUAGAGUUUCUUUGUACUCAUAUUUUUACACGUAUAACUGAUGGAGCAGAUUGCCCUGUUGAUACAGCUGGAGCUCCAAAAUCCUUGCAGGUCUCAUCUGGUGCAGUGAGCGCAGUGCCUUGCAGGGACAUCACCAUCCUGCUGAGACCUGCAGUGAGCAGAGCUGGCAGCUGGAACUGGAGUGCGAUUUGGAGUGUUUGGGUUCCCUUGCCACUGUCAAGAAUUACCCUGAAGAGUACUUAAAUAUCUUUCUUAAUGAUUGCAUUAAGUUUCAUGCCACCGAUAUUUCUGGCAGUUCCUCUGCCAGCUAAAGUGCUAAAUAUCCUGAUUUUAUCGUGCAUACCUAUGGAUUACAAAUAGAUCUUAUUAACUGCUCAGAACUGACACAUCUAUUUGAAUAAAGGGGCUCAUUUCUUUGCA
rnacentral:lncRNA from 1 species